UCAAGCUAAUAAGAGCGCAGGGUGGAUGCCUUGGCACUAAGAGCCGAUGAAAGACGUGAUAAGCUGCGAAAAGCUUCGGGGAGGAGCAAAUAUCCUUUGAUCCGGAGAUAUCUGAAUGGGGAAACCCGGCUGAGAAGACCUCAGUCACUGUAUGGUAAAUCCAUAGCCAUACAGAGGGAACCCGGUGAACUGAAACAUCUAAGUAGCCGGAGGAAGAGAAAGAAACAUCGAUUCCGGAAGUAGCGGCGAGCGAACCCGGAAGAGCCCAAACCAGCGUGCGUGCAUGCUGGGGUUAAGGACUGCAUAAGUGAGCCGAUCUGUUAAUGGAACUGCCUGGGAAGGCAGGCCAGAGAGGGUGAAAGCCCCGUACAUGAAAACGGUAGGCAGCGGCAGGAUCCAGAGUACCGCGAGACACGAGAAACCUUGCGGGAAGUCGGAGGGACCACCCUCCAAGGCUAAAUACUCCUUAGUGACCGAUAGCGCAUAGUACUGUGAAGGAAAGGUGAAAAGGACCCCGGGAGGGGAGUGAAAGAGAACCUGAAACCCUGUGUUUACAAGCUGUGGGAGCACGUUAAGGUGCAACCGCGUACUUUUUGUAGAACGGUCCGGCGAGUUGCCGGUGCUGGCAAGGUUAAAUGGUACAGCCAUGGAGCCGAAGGGAAACCAAGUCUCAAAUGGGCGUAAAGUCAGCACAGGCAGACCCGAAACCGGGUGACCUAUCCAUGUCCAGGAUGAAGCGGAAGUAAAAUUCCGUGGAGGUCCGGAUCCACAUCCGUUGAAAAGGGUGGGAAUGAGGUGUGGAUAGGGGAGAAAUUCCAAUCGAACCCGGAGAUAGCUGGUUCUCCUCGAAAUAGCUUUAGGGCUAGCCCCGUAUUAGUUUAGCGGAGGUAGAGCACUGAAUUCCUAAGGGGGCGUCAAAGCUUACCAAGGGAUAUCAAACUCCGAAUGCCGCAUAAAUGAUGUACGGGAGUCAGACUGCACGAGAUAAGUUGGGCAGUCAAAAGGGAAAGAGCCCAGACCUACAGCUAAGGUCCCAAAGUGUGUGUUAAGUGGAAAAGGAUGUGGGAUUUCAGAGACAACUAGGAUGUUGGCUUAGAAGCAGCCACACAUUCAAAGAGUGCGUAAUAGCUCACUAGUCGAGAGGUCCUGCGCCGAAAAUGUCCGGGGCUGAAACACAACACCGAAGCUUAGGAAUGUAGAAAUACAUUGGUAGAGGAGCAUUCUUAAAGGAAUGAAGCAGUACCGGUAAGGAGCUGUGGACUUUUAAGAAGAGAGAAUGCCGGAAUGAGUAGCGAGAUGGAGGUGGGAAUCCUCCAGGCCGAAUAUCCAAGGUUUCCAGAGUAAAGCUGAUCUGCUCUGGGUAAGUCGGGGCCUAAGGUAAGGCUGAGAAGCGUAGCCGAUGGACAACAGGUUGAGAUUCCUGUACCGCGUAUCAUCAGAACUGUGGGGACACAGAAGGACAGCACAUCCCGGGAAUGGAAAGACCGGGGCAAGCAGGGUAGGAGUUAAGCUGGCAAAUCCGCUUAACAAUCCGAAGCUGUGAUGCGGAGCGAAUUUAAGUAGCGAAGUGUGCGAUUCCAGCUGUCAAGAAAAGCCGCUAUUGUGUGAUACGUGCCCGUACCGUAAACCGACACAGGUAGAUGAGGAGAGAAUCCUAAGGCCGGCGGGAGAAGCAUUGUUAAGGAACUCGGCAAAAUGACCCUGUAACUUCGGGAGAAAGGGUGCCUGGGAAACCAGGCCGCAGAGAAUAGGCUCAAGCAACUGUUUAGCAAAAACACAGGUCUAUGCAAAACCGUAAGGUGAGGUAUAUGGGCUGACGCCUGCCCGGUGCUGGAAGGUUAAGAGGAGGGGUUAGCGCAAGCGAAGCUCUGAAUUGAAGCCCCAGUAAACGGCGGCCGUAACUAUAACGGUCCUAAGGUAGCGAAAUUCCUUGUCGGGUAAGUUCCG
rnacentral:rRNA from 1 species